rnacentral:lncRNA from 1 species
AUCCAUUUCAUUUAGCAAAUAGUGUUGGUCCCAGGAAAAAGCACCAAGCCUGGGAAUCCCUGCCACAAUGACAGAAUCACAUUCAACAGCUGCUUCCAGCAUAGGAUGCAAUCCCCGCCGCCAGCAUCCCUCCCACCUCCAGAAAUAGUAAACAUCUGCCAAGAGAGAGCCCCAUUAGUAAAAUUCCCACCUUCUAAGGGUCAUCGAUUGGCUUUCUUCUGAGCUUCCUGCCUGCUUCCCUCAUCUCUGCAGCCUGUUAGAGCCUGCCACGACCGCGUGGGCAACCCCUAGCUGCAGUUUCUUUCCUCUUCUCUGCCCUCAGCACUUUCCCCUCCAGGAGCACAACUCUGAGCUGUCAUUCCUGUCAACCAGAUGGGAGAUCAGCCACAAAGCUGCUCCGCCUCUCGCAAGGACAGGAACUCUUGUGGCAGGCAGGCUUUCGGGGCGGCUCCAAGAGGGAGUGAGUGAGUCUGGGCCUCUUAGUCGCUGUGGUCAUGCUUCACUGCAGCCAGCGUGGAGCAGGAUGCUGACAGCAGAGUGGCUCCAGUGAGCUGCCAUUCCAGAUGUCAGGAACAAGCUCACAGACUGAGUGAAGCCGAGAAGGAUUGCAAACACCAGUGAGAAAGGGCUGGGAGACAACAGUGACGGAGAAGAGGAGCAGGCUUUCAGGCGAUAAGGUGGCUGUGAACUGGUUACAGUUUCCUGAGAUCAACUGCGGUCUGAAAAUCGAAGUCUUCAAUCAACACAACUGAGCUGAGACUCCUCUAGAAGAGAGCUAUCAGGGUCCUGACAGACAGCUGGUGAGGUGCAGAAUGACAUGAGUGAGGGGCUUGGCGCUGACGUGAAGGUUGAGGAGGCAGUCACCGGAACCCCACGCAGGCUAGAGCUGUGACCGACAGAAACGACGAUGUGUGUUCCUAGAGGCUUAGGCAGUGCCAGAGAAAUCACUCAGUGCCAGCUGGCUCCUGCAUGAAUGCUUCUCUAGACAAGCUGACCUUUGCUACUUAGUAGGGUGUACGUUGCCUCUAAGCCCAUUUCCAAUUUACUGACACCUGGUGGAUUUUUAUUCACCACUGAGCUCUGGCCCGAAGAGAGCUGCCAAACGUCCUAGGCCAUCCAUUCACUCAGCACUUAUAAUCGUGAUAGUCACCACCCAUGAAAGCUUUAGGACCUGUUUCAGUGUUUCUGCAUCGUGUCGCCUGAGGGCUUUCUUCUGUGACCAGAAACUGCUCUGCCCCCAAGCAGCACUGGCCUGGAACUGGAGAAUUAAAGACCUCCCUAAUCCCACACGCAAACUUUGAUGUGAUUGGCAUAUAAGUAUCUUAGCACCCUAGUAUCAUGAGUUACAUGGCGCUGAGGCACAUAUUCCACGCUGGGCCCAGCACUUCCCAGAGGGACUGAGUCCCAGGGUGGCAUCUCACUUGGUGAUGUGCCUUGUACUGGUUACCUUCCCUUCCCAUGUCAGCUCACUCUUCUACUGGCGUGUGCUGGAAUCACCUCCCAAACCAACUAUUUAAAUCUUUGCUUCUGGAGAGACCCCAACUAAAAUAAUAUGUAUUUGCUCUAAGUAGUUUGAUACAGAGCAGAUAAUGAAAAACAGGAGCUGACAAUUAUAAAGUGGAAUUCUUGAGCAAGUGGUAAGCUCCAUUUCUUAGCCUUCUACACCCUCCUCCUCACAACACCAGAGUCAAGAAUUCCUGUCUCCUAAGGAAAUGUCUCUUAUGGCUUGGGUGGAUGCUGUUGUAGGGGUAUGAAACAAGCCAGUUCCCUUAGCCAGUGAGUAUGCACUGGCUGUUUAGAAUGUGCCCAACAGGCGCCAGCCUCUGGAGAGGUCAUUAAUAGCCUCGGGCAUGGUCCCUGCCUCAAGUUGGAGAGUUAGGGCUCAUGAAGUAAGGAGCAAUACAUUUCCAGCCCGUGCUGUUUGACAGCAGUACUUUUCAACACUCGGCCACAUGUGCUGAAGCCUGCUGGUGUCUGCCCAGGUCCCCUCGACUGGAGGGGACCCUGUGCCCCCUCUAGAGCAUUGAUGAGUAACUCACAGCUGUCUCUCCAGAGAGUCAUCCUUGGCCAAACCUUCAUGUGGGCAGCUACCACCCACCACACCAGCCCCUCUUCCAGAUCAGACCUCAGCAAACCUGACUGGCCUAGGGAUACAGAAGACCAGCCUCUUGCGUCCACGUGGGACCAAGUCUGCAGUGUGACUUGUGCUCCAGAACUCUCCCACAGGCUCAGCCUGAAGUCAGGCUCCAGCGAAGCCCAUCCCUGCCUGGCUUCUCUCCACAGUCCUAUUCUGCUGCCCUGACUCCUCUUCCCUAAGGGCUAUUGCCCAGCGAAGCCCAUGGUCUCAGACUGGGCUUCAAAGAAACCUGACUCCAUGUUAGCAUCUUCUGCGGAGUUUUAUAAAAACACAUACACCUGAACUUAACCACCUAGACUUACUGAGCCAGAAGCUAUAGAGCUUCAAGAGUGGGAACCAGACAACUGUAUGCUUUAAAGCCUAAUAGAUAUUUCUAAUUCACCAGUUUAUCUCUCAACUUUUCAUUUUGAAAAUGCCAAACUUACAGAAAUAAUGAAAGUAUAAUGUAGUGAUAAAUAUCUACAUACUCAGCAUCUAGAUAUACCAAUUAUUAAUAUUUUGCUCCAUUUUCCUCUCUCUCUCUCACAUAUCAAAAAUAAUUUGCAAGUAAAUUGUAGACAUUAUGACACUUUAUCCUUCAGUUCUUCAGCAGAUAUUAUCCAAGAAUAAAGACAUUCUCCUACAUAACCCCAGUGUCAUAAUCACCCACAGGAAAUUAAUACUAACUUGUUAACAUCCCCAGAGCAUACAGUCCAUAGUUAAGAUGUACCCUCUGUUUUAGGCCAAAGGUGGCAAUUUUCUCAACUUUAGACUCAACAGAAGUUUGGAGAAGGGAAAAAUCUGUAUGAGUUGAAUAGAAAGGAAAAUACUUCAUGGAGGAAAGAGGAUAAGAAUUGGGCUGUGAAGGAUUGACAUUAGAAAGAAGGGGUGGAGCAAAUGCUCAGAUAGAAGCAGGUAAAUACCUAUGCAAACAUGCAGACAUGGGCAUUGGAAUUGCCUUUUGUGGGAGGAGAAGACUGAGCAGAAUUUGUGGACUAGGAUAGGUAGGCUGUGCAGCUGGACAGGCCUCAUGCAAUCUGAGUACAGAGAAAUUGCCAAUCCAAGCAAUCAAAAAAACAGUGGCCACACACCAAGAAACGUUAAAGGUGACUGCACUUAGGAGAGUGGCAUCAGAUUUGUGGGACACAUUCAGGUGAAUUCUAGUCAGGACCAUGGCAAAGCAUUUGGGGUCAGAAUUAAACUGGGGAGUUAAUUACUGAUUGAAAUUCAUUUAUUCAUAUAUUCGUUCUACCAGCAUUUUCUGAGUACAUAUUAUGUGCCAAAAUACCAAUGUGAACACAGGAAAUAAAGCACUGAAAAAACAGACAAGGUCCUUGCUUUCAUGAAACUUAGGUAGGGGUGUGUGUGUGUGUGCGCGUGUGUGUGUGUGUUGGUUGAGUGGG